GCAGUGGUGGUUCGGUGGUAGAACUUUUGCCUUCCAUGUGGGAGACAUGAGUUCGAUUCCUGGCCAAUGCA
rnacentral:tRNA from 1 species